AUAAAGACUGAGAAGUAACAUUCGUAAUGUUUUGAAAAGGGCAUCCAUCAUAUACUAGAAAACAAUAAUUACAAAAAGUCAUCAAACUCCAUUAGAUGCUGGUAUAUCCACCAUCAACGAUUAAGUUGGUACCGGAAGCGUAUGAAGCAGCAUCACUAGCAAGAUAAAGAUAAGCGGAAGCAAUCUCUUUAGCCAAACCAUUACGCUCGAAAGGAGUAUAAG